GAAUACAGGCGUGAACCACCAUGCCUGGUCAAUAGGAGUUUAAAUUAAACAAGAUUAGCCAUGAGCUGGGAAUUUUUUAUGCUAGGUGAUGAGUACAUGAGGGUUGUAAUGUCCUGUAAACAAUUUUUGCGUAUAUCUAAAAUUGCUUAUAAUACAAUUUUUAAAAUAAUAGUUAAAAUUAACCACAUCAAAAAAUAUAAUAUUUGUAAUAAAAUGUUACUCAUUUUACAACAGGCAACAGUGCUCAUUAAAUGCGUGCAUAACUGACUGAAUGAAUGAAUGACACGACAUGACAACUCUGUAAAGUGAGGUAUUGUCAUUCCCUUUUCACAGAUACCAAAACCAAAACCAAAACUAAAACCAUCUGAAGUUAAGGCAGUUGCCCUGGAUUUCUUGACUGUUAGCUCCAUGAAGGUGAAAACUGUGUAUUUAAGUAGACAUUACAACAUGUGAAACCAUGAAUUUCAAAGAUCUGAAGAAGAGAAUGAAGUCAUGUCCCAAUAGAAACAUUGCAGAAACUUGGGUUUCUGCAAUGAAAAUUUUAAUCUCAUUUAUAAUUCAUUCCCAAAACACAAAUCUUCCCAUCUUCUCUGAGGACCUAUGCCUGCCUCCAAACAAAAGGGAUAGCAUUAAGAUACUGAAUGGAAUCAUGCAUUGAAUCACAAGAAGGUGGACCUGAGCAGCAAAACAAAAUGUAUUCUUCAUCUGCUCAGAAAUAACUAGUUUAAGAAACAGUGCGGGAACACUCAUACCCGUUUGCAGCUCAUGGUUUAUUUUUAGGGCAUUCAAAAUAUUUGUAAGUCAAAGCAGAAACUGCUCUUUUGCUGCCUUGUAACUUUAUUCAGCUCUAAUGCAGUGUGCACACUAAGAAGCAGAGAACACUUGAGUGAUGCCCUUAGCGGAUGUUAGAAAAACCUCGUUUUCUGUUUGAGCAAAACUCAAGAAAGUCUAUCAGGGUAACAGGCCUCAAGGCUAUGGCCAUGGAUAAGGAAAAGAGUGUUGUGGAACAAAAGCUCUUAGUUUUAUCAUCAUAAAACGUUCCAGUGGAUUUGAAACCUUUAUUAAGAGCCUCUCAUACCUGGUAAGUGAUCCCUUCACACAGAAUAAGCAAUCCAUCUGAUAAUUUUUAAAUAUUUACCCAGCACUGGAGGUAAGUGAGAGGUGGCAGUUGUUAGGGACAAGAGGAAGGUUAAGUUUUUUUUGUUUUUUUUUUUUUAAAUGUCACUCUUGCCUUAGAAGAAGGAAAGAAAAUAACAGGCAGGUUCUCUUACAUCGACCACCUAAAAGUCGCACUGGAAGAAGCAACAACCUCUCCUCCUUGUCUCCACCAUCUGCUCAGCAGCCGCGAAGCAGCAAUCAUGCGUGAGUGCAUCUCCAUCACAUUGGCCAGGCUGAUGUCCAGGUUGGCAAUGCCUGCUGGGAGGCCUACUGCCUGGAACAUGGCAUCCAGCCCAACGGCCAGAUGCCAAGUGACAAGACCACUCGGGGAGGAGAUGACUCCUUCAACAGCUUCUUCAGUGAGACGGGCUCCGGCAAGCACGUGCCCAGGGCAGUGUUUCUAGAUCUGGAACCCAUGGUAAUUGAUGAUGCAGUUUGCACUGGCACUUGCCACCAGCUCUCCCACCCUGAGCAGCUCAUCACAGGCAAGGAAGAUGCUGCCAGUAACUAUGCCAUUGGCCAGGAGAUCACUGACCUCGUUUUGGACCAAAUUUGUAAACUGGCUGACCAGUGCAUGGUUCUCCAGGGCUUCUUGGUUUUCCACAGCUCUGGUGAAGGAAUUGUUUCUGGGUUCACCUCCCUGCUCAUGGAACAACUCCCAGUUGAUGAUGGCAAGAAGUCCAAGCUGGAGUUCUCCAUUAACUCAGCACCCCAGGUUUCCACAGCUGUAGUUGAGUCCUACAACUCCAUCCUCACCACCCAGUGAGGACAUGACUGCCCUUGAGAAGGAUUAUAAGGAGGUUGGUGUGGAUCCUGUUGAAGGAGAAGGUGAGGAAGAAAGAGAGGAAUACUAAAGUAAAAAUGUCACAAAGGUGCUGCUUUUACAGGGAAGCUUAUUCUGUUUUAAACAUUGAAAAGUUGUGGUCUGAUCAGUUAAUUUGUAUGUAGCAGUGUAUGCUCUUAUAUACAAUUACUGACCUAUGCUUUAAAACAUGACUGCUUUUGCAGACCCAAACUGUCCAUUUCUGUGAUGGGUUUUGAAUAAAGUAUUCCCUGUCUUUAA